rfam:Salmo salar isolate Sally breed double haploid chromosome ssa26, whole genome shotgun sequence.
UGCAUGCAUUACUGUAAGUCGCUUUGAAUAAAAGCAGCUGCUAAAUGGCAUAUA